AGACCGCCGAACUGACAGGGUUUUCCCUGUACCGCGGACAGAGUCUCCCCUGUACGUUCUAGGCGUCGCAAUCAAUACAAUGUACAAAAUUCCAACCAGGAACACAUUUCAAUCAAGAUUGCAUAAGGAAGGUAUCAAACAACAUAAACAGCUAAACUAUUACAAGCAUUCACAUACAUGCUUCUACAUUUCAAUUACUUAUUACAUUUAACUUCCAAAAUGCGAUCUAAGUUAUUACAAGUUUAUUACAACUUUUACCUUUUUCCUUCCCUCUACCCUUAGACUAU
rnacentral:lncRNA from 1 species